GAUGAACGCUGGCGGCGUGCCUAAUACAUGCAAGUCGAGCGCACAGACGAGGAGCUUGCUCUUCUGACGUUAGCUGCGGACGGGUGAGUAACACGUGGAUAACCUACCUAUAAGACUGGGAUAACUUCGGGAAACCGGAGCUAAUACCGGAUAAUAUAUUAAACCGCAUGGUUUAUUAGUGAAAGGCGGUUUUGCUGUAAUUUAUAGAUGGCUCCCGUCGGCUUUAGUUAGUUGGGAAGUUAACGGCCUACCAAGGCAACGAUGCGUACCGGACCUGAGAGGGUGAUCGGCCACACUGGAACUGAGACACGGUCCAGACUCCUACGGGAGGAAGCAGUAGGGAAUCUUCCGCAAGGGGCGAAAGCCUGACGGAGCAACGCGGCGUGAGGGAGGAAGUUCUUCGGAUCGUAAAACUCUGUGAUUAGGGAGGAACAAAGUUGUAAGUAACAGUGCACAUCGUGACGGUACCUAAUCAGAAAGCCACGGCUAACUACGUG
rnacentral:rRNA from 1 species